rnacentral:lncRNA from 1 species
ACAAACACAGUCCUCUCAGGAGCCCUACCACGACAAGGCCAGAGAGCACCCGGAUGACGGAAAGCAUCCGGACGGAGGUCUAUAUAACAAGGGCCCCUCCUACUCCAGUUACUCUGGCUACAUCAUGAUGCCCAAUAUGAAUAGCGACCCAUACAUGUCAAAUGGAUCCCUUUCUCCACCCAUCCCGAGGACCGUGGCAAAAGAAACUCAUUCCCAACGUGCAAAGCCAAGGCAGCGACCCCAGGCCCUCUCCUGGAGAUGGAAGCUUGUUGAAAACCCAGACUGUCUCCACAGCUUGCCCGGCUGACCCCAAGGAGCACUGACAGCAACUUUACCCUGAGGUCACUGCUAGCGCUGACCCACAGACACAGUCACUGCCAGCCCUCCCUUCUGUCUACUGCAAGCGCUGACUUCCAAAAGAAAGCCGAAUACGGUCGUUUCUGAAAAAGAAAAAAAAAAUAAAAUUAAAAAGUCCAUGAGAAAGCUAGCAGGCCCUGCCCACUGAGCAGCAUUGCUUCCAGUCUUCAUGCGCUUCUUGAGCAUCUUCUGCGCAGACCUGUCACCCUUCAGCAAGGACAGACAGUUCCUUGGCUGUGUUUGCCUCGUCACGUGCAACUGGAGCCAGCGACCCAAGCAGGCAUCAGCAUCCUGGCGUGAGAAUCGUGGAAGACUCCUCUCGUUCCUGUCUUCAUUUUCCUAUCUCUUCAAGUUUUUAUUUAACAGUACAAAAGGAUCAAGUUUGUGUUUGCUUCUUUUUUUUU